CAUGUGGCAUACCGAGAUAAUACCUGUGAUCACUGCGUCUGAAGCAAUAACAUCUCUCCUACCUGGAAGUGCACAGAAACGAGCCUGACCACCGCUCGACUGCUCAACACUCCUGGGGCGACCUCUAUAUGAUUGUCCCCCGCCCAUACUAGACAGGGAUGGUGCUUAAGAAGAUGAAGAGGAAGAGGAGGGCUGAUCCCUCUGACGAUACCUACCACCACAAAGUCGAGGACACUGUCUCUUCAAAUGAAAAAACUAACUGCCUGGAGCUGGAGAAGGGGACUGAAGGGAACCCCUCGCCGUAGAUGAACCCUGGGCUAACAAAGCGGGUGCAGAACCCUGAGCUGGAAGGGCACUGAGUGAAGACUGGCCCUGCUGGUGACCCUGACGGCCACGACCGGAAGAAGCUUCGUUGUACUCUGGGCGGCCUGAC
rnacentral:lncRNA from 1 species